rnacentral:rRNA from 1 species
CCUACGGGGCGCUGCAGUGGGGAAUAUUGGACAAUGGGCGAAAGCCUGAUCCAGCCAUGCCGCGUGUGUGAAGAAGGCCUUCGGGUUGUAAAGCACUUUCAGUGGGGAAGAAAGCCUUGGGGCUAAUACCCUCGAGGAAGGACAUCACCCACAGAAGAAGCACCGGCUAACUCCGUGCCAGCAGCCGCGGUAAUACGGAGGGUGCGAGCGUUAAUCGGAAUUACUGGGCGUAAAGCGCGCGUAGGCGGUCUGAUAAGCCGGUUGUGAAAGCCCCGGGCUCAACCUGGGAACGGCAUCCGGAACUGUCAGGCUAGAGGGCAGGAGAGGGAGGUAAAAUUCCCGGUGGAGCGGGGAAAUGCGUAGAGAUCGGGAGGAAUACCAGGGGCGAAGGCGGCCUUCUGGACUGACACUGACGCUGAGGUGCGAAAGCGUGGGUAGCAAACAGGAUUAGAUACCCCAGUAGUC